CGACACUAAAUCUUUCUGACUUGUGUACUCUAAUUCCACCAAAUAAAUAUAACAGCAGCUUCAAAACCCUAGCAAAAGUGGACAAUAAAGAUUUUGUUUGUGGCUGGCUUGUAGACAAGGUCAUUGAAGCAUUUUUGUGGAAGCUACGUUGUUCACACCCAGAAACCUUUUAUGCAGAUGCAACUCUAUGUCAAUUGGUACAACGACAGGCAAGCACUAGGAGACUAUGGAUAGGUGAACACUUUGGUCUGUGAAGAAAAUUUUCAUUCCAAUGAACCUUGGUGGAAUGCACUGGACAAUACUGGCUAUUGACAAGGAGAAAUCUGUUAGAUUGUAUAUUGAUCCUAUGAGUGGCCUAGAACAAUAACAGGAUCGCUUAAGUUGCUGAUUGACAACAUAUGGUAAAUUUCUUGAUUGCAUGCCAAGCAGUCCAAAAAGAAUGUAUGUAUUAUGUAAACUAAUUAAAUUUUCUAGCACUAUUGUGGAUAUAAAAACUGGCUGGAAAACUAAAGAAUGGAUAUGUAUUGAACCAAAGCAUUUUCUUCAGACAGACAGUUAUAACUGUGGUGUUCUUAUUUGUCUUGUAAGUAUAUUAUAGUUUGUAGGUUUCUCUAAUUUUGCAUUAAUGGUAUAUGAAAUAAAUGAACCAGAUAUAGUGCAUUCAAGUCUUUCGAUAAUAGCCACUGAAUAUACACUGACCAU